rnacentral:lncRNA from 1 species
UAGGAUUACAAAUGCAAUACGAUCUUUCUCUAAUACAAUACUCUUGACCACAUUGUUUGGUUUGAUAGUUUAUUUAUUCAUGUCUACUAUCCAAUGUGAUUCGUGUGCUUAUAUGAUUACCUUGAAUGUGAUUUGGAACGACUUCCUAAAUCUCAUUCAUACUCUGGCCAGAGAUUCCAAAUCAUAUCAUAGAGUAUUCUCCCUCAAACGGUUUGAAGGUUAGAGAUCCCUUGUUGCACAUUCACUUGUCUCCAUGGCUAAGUGGCUUAACCCCAACGAUGCCGUGGACACCCUCCAAAUGGAGUGACUUUGACAUAAUCAGAGAUCAAGGACUUAACCACAAGACAACU